AGUGAACGCUGGCGGCGUGCCUAAUACAUGCAAGUCGAACGGAGUGGCGCACGGGUGAGUAAUGUAUAUCUAAGCUGCCCUAUACUAGAGGACAAUAGUUGGAAACGGCUGCUAAUACUCUAUAGUGUAGGAUGAGGCUAUAUUGUCUCAGCUAGUUGGUGAGGUAAUGGCUCACCAAGGCUAUGACGCAUAACUGGUCUGAGAGGAUGAUCAGUCACACUGGAACGGAGACACUGUCGAGACUCAUACGGGAGUCAGCAGUAGGGAAUAGUGCUCAAUGGGGGAAACCCUGAAGCAGCAACGCCGCGUGGAGGAUGACACUUUUCGGAGCGUAAACUCCUUUUGUUAGGGAAGCGGUACCUAACGAAUAAGCACCGGCUAACUCCGUGCCAGCCGCCGCGGUAAUAC
rnacentral:rRNA from 1 species